rnacentral:rRNA from 1 species
GAUGAACGCUGGCGGCGUGCUUAACACAUGCAAGUCGAACGAUGAAGCCCAGCUUGCUGGGUGGUUUAGUGGCGAACGGGUGAGUAACACGUGAGUAACCUGCCCUUGACUCUGGGAUAAGCGCUGGAAACGGCGUCUAAUACCGGAUACGAGCUUCCACCGCAUGGUGAGUUGCUGGAAAGAAUUUCGGUCAAGGAUGGACUCGCGGCGGACCAGGUAGUUGGUGAGGUAACGGCACACCAAGCCGACGAGGGGUAGCCGGCCUGAGAGGGUGACCGGCCACACUGGGACUGAGACACGGCCCAGACUCCUACGGGAGGCAGCAGUGGGGAAUAUUGCACAAUGGGCGCAAGCCUGAUGCAGCAACGCCGCGUGAGGGACGAAGGCCUUCGGGUCGUAAACCUCUUUUAGCAGGGAAGAAGCGAAAGUGACGGUACCUGCAGAAAAAGCACCGGCUAACUACGUG